ensembl:snoRNA SNORA72 Small nucleolar RNA SNORA72
CUGCAAAUAUCCUGCUCUGAUCAGUAAUGAUCAGGACAGGCUAAACAACUACUACAGUAAGACCACACCUGUGCCCAAACCUAGUGCUUUCCCCAGGUCUGGUUUUCAAAUGCUGGUGACAACC